CUUACACAGUAACAGGUGUAUCAUUCGUAUUGUGCAAUCCAUUUUCUUAACGAAAGUAGCGAGGGUGUGACUCCAGGAAUCGAGAUAGGAAAUGUAGGUCAAUGGAAUAUUCACAGAGUGAAUAGAUUACUGGGAAUUCUUAGUCGGCGAGUAUAAAAGAAAUGUUGAGUUGAGAUACAGGUGAAACAACCUGACGACGCGAGACGAGGGAGUGAGCUCGGCAGGUCUGCGACACACAAGAAGCUAUUGCACUCGGACAAUCUUCGGACUCUUGUUGCUAGUUUUGUUUCAGCGAAAACAUUUCAAUGCGUACAGAAAAGACAAGACAAGCCGAGCUGAAACUAAUGAUCAGGAGGAAAGCUGUCCUGCGCGUGGGCUCUACUGAUGACGUGGAGAGUCGAUGAGCCGCGUACGAGAAUGAAAAUGCUUAUGCAUAUCACAGCAACCGCUGCAUGUUUUAUGCUCCGACUACAAACAAACAGAGGGCUGAAAACAAGUUGUUGAACCUGUGCGUGAAAAAGAAGAACUGCAGUAGGAAUGACCAAAUGCAAAGCAACGCACAACCCACACCAGGGUGGGUCUACGCCAUUGUGUGAGCAGAUGACUGCCAUUGCUACCAGUCUUCUUGUGGUUUCUGACACAAGUCCACCACAAACCCCUCGAAUACCUUGUAAUUCGUGUAGCCUUCCUUUCGUACGGUUUCAAUAUAAAAUGAAGUCAUCAUGAAUGUAUUUACUACCUUAACAUUUAUAAAAGCUUUAAAUGCAAGAGAUAUGUUCACCAUUAGUGUAUGCUAUAUUCGUACAAAUUAAACAAUCCCUAAUACAAUCGUUGAAAACAAAUGAUUGUUUGUUUAGUGAAAAUGAAAUGAGAAGUCAACAACAGAAAAAUUGGUCGUCAAUAACUUUUUGAUAAAAUAAAUCAAUAUUCGCUGAUGCUUUUAU